UGGGUCCUACGGGAGGCAGCAGUGGGGAAUAUUGCACAAUGGGGGGAACCCUGAUGCAGCGACGCCGCGUGGGUGAAGAAGUCAUUCGUGACGUAAAGCCCUAUCAGCAGGGAAGAAAAUGACGGUACCUGACUAAGAAGCCCCGGCUAACUACGUGCCAGCAGCCGCGGUAAUACGUAGGGGGCAAGCGUUAUCCGGAUUUACCGGGUGUAAAGGGAGCGUAGACGGCGGCGCAAGUCCGGAGUGAAAGCCCACGGCCCAACCGUGGGACUGCUCUGGAAACUGUGUGGCUAGAGUGCAGGAGG
rnacentral:rRNA from 1 species